CAAUAGCGUAUAUUUAAGUUGUUGCAGUUAAAAAGCUCGUAGUCGGAUUUUGGCUGAGAACGAUCGGCCCGCCGUUAGGUGUGCACUGAUUGGUCUCAGCUUCCUGGUGAGGAGGUGUGCUUCACGGCCACUUAGUCACCGUGGUUACUUUGAAAAAAUUAGAGUGUUCAAAGCGGGCUUACGCUUGAAUAUAUUAGCAUGGAAUAACACCAUAGGACUCCUGUCCUAUUUCGUUGGUCUCGGGACGGGAGUAAUGAUUAAGAGGAACAGUUGGGGGCAUUCGUAUUUCAUUGUCAGAGGUGAAAUUCUUGGAUUUAUGAAAGACGAACUUCUGCGAAAGCAUUUGCCAAGGAUGUUUUCAUUGA
rnacentral:rRNA from 1 species